rnacentral:lncRNA from 1 species
AGCAUAGCAACAGCAGCGUAGCUGAACAUCUUACGGAUGGCCCAGGGCUCCAAAGGCUCGUUUCCUAAGUGAGAGAGAGCCUGGCUGAAGCUGUAUUACCAUUCAUUCUCCAGCCUCCGAAGUCUCAAAGCAUCACUUCCACCAUACUCUAACUGUCAAGACAAACACAAAGGCCCAGAGAAGGGGUCUCACUAUGUUGUCUGGAGUGCUGUGGUGGAGUGGAGUGGCUAUUCACAGAGCCUGUUCUGCUGGGACACAGAAUCACUUGCUCCAUCUCAUACAUUGAUGAUGAUUAAUUUGUAUGUGUACCUUCCAAAAAAGAUGGUUGUGUUUGAAUGGAGGCCUUCUGGACAGGAAAAUAAUCACAUCCUUCCUGAGAUAAUGAGCACACAAUUGCCUGGAUACCUGAAGGAAUGGAGACAGCGGCAGAAAACACUGCAGAGAGGUGGAAACAUCCGUUAAUAUUUUAAAAUCCCAUUACUGCUACCAACAAUAAUAAUGGAUGCAUAGAAAUAGAUCUGGAUUAGCUGAGCUUGAAACAGUCCAUCUCACACACACACAAAAGAAUUUCAGAUACAGUGAACCCACAUGUUGAAGCUUUCUAGUAUAAUAAAAAUUUCAACUGUUCUGUUGAAUCAUCUGCCUGAUUGGAGGCUACAGAAAAGAUGUCAUCUUAGGAGUGCUUGCUCUGAGUGAGGCUCAUCUUCAAAUCUGAAUGACCACAAGGAGAUUUGAUUAUACAUGUGAACACCUCAGAAGGCACAGCCCACCCAGAAGGCAGACAGGUCAGGCUGCUUUUUCUUCAUUGCUUGGAUUCAAUCCUCCGGGCGGCUCAGGCUCAAACAUAACUUAAGCAUGAUUAAACUUUAGAAGAAGCUGCCAGGAAGACUGUGAAAUCUUCAUGCCCAAGGAUCCCUAAAAUUAGGAGCAACAACCACUUGGCUCAGACGGUUUAUGGAGGCAAAGGUUUGGAUGGGAUUAGAGAUUUCUAAAUGUGAGUUCGUGUCCUCUGCCAGACCACCUUACUUCCACCAUUCCUCAGCAAAUCAAGAAAAACAGGAGAAAAGACAUGCCUUUCCAUAAGUUAAAUCUAUUCUGUUUUAAUUCUAUAUUAUAUCUGCUGUACAACUUCUUUUGUUUGUAACACCAUAUUGUUGCUAGUAACUGGAAAUUAAUUUUCACAUGCCUCAGCUUAGAAAAAUAAAAAGCAGCCCUGCAUCAAUCCCAA